rnacentral:rRNA from 1 species
UACGUAGGGACCAAGCGUUGUUCGGAUUUACUGGGCGUAAAGGGCGCGUAGGCGGCGUGGUAAGUCACUUGUGAAAUCUCCGGGCUUAACUCGGAACGGUCAGAUGAUACUGCUUUGCUAGAGUGCGGAAGGGGCAAUCGGAAUUCUUGGUGUAGCGGUGAAAUGCGUAGAUAUCAAGAGGAACACCUGAGGUGAAGACGGGUUGCUGGGCCGACACUGACGCUGAUGCGCGAAAGCCAGGGGAGCAAACGGG